rnacentral:tRNA from 1 species
GGAGGAGUGACUGAGUUGGUUGAAGGUACCGCUCUCGAAAAGCGGCAGGGGCGCAAGCUCCUCAAGGGUUCGAAUCCCUUCUCCUCCG